UUUAAUGGAAUGGAUGUUUUAUAUUGAUGCCAUGCGAUAUCAAUAGAUCGGAACAUUUAUAAUUGAGUCAAGCAACAGAUAGUGCUUCAUCGCCUACAGACGAAGUGUAGCGUAAAAGACUGUAAAGAAAAUCGCCUGGAUCAUCGGGAUCGUUCGAAUUCACGAGUUUAGACGCAAGGCUCUCCAAUUUCUGGGAUACAUCUUCUUGUCUAACUUCGAUGUAUGUUCGGGCUAAGUAAAACAACAACCACGAAAGGUCGCUUCCGCUGGGGGAUUUCACUGGAAUACACGAUGCCAGACAUUGCAAUAAGCUGUUUACAAAGCAACGAUUUUUCUUCGGUGGAUUUUCUAGUCCUUUCAAAAGAAAGAGUGCAACAAUGAACAAGAAGUCGUUUCAUGAAUACGUGUGUAGCUGGUUGCAUCAUGUUGAGGAAAUAGUUGUCUUUGUUCAUU